rnacentral:rRNA from 1 species
UACAGAGGUCUCAAGCGUUGUUCGGAUUCAUUGGGCGUAAAGGGUGCGUAGGCGGCGCGGUAAGUCGGGUGUGAAAACUCGAGGCUCAACCUCGAGACGCCGGUGGAAACCAUCAGGCUAGAGUCCGGAAGAGGAGAGUGGAAUUCCUGGUGUAGCGGUGAAAUGCGCAGAUAUCAGGAAGAACACCCGUGGCUAAGGCGGCUCUCUAGUACGGUACUGACGCUGAGACGCGAAAGCGUGGGGAGCGAACAGG